rnacentral:sRNA from 1 species
CCGGGAGCUUACGCCACCCGGCUAAGUUAUUUCGCCGCUGCGCGGCU